rnacentral:rRNA from 1 species
GACGAACGCUGGCGGCGUGCUUAAAACAUGCCAGUCGAACGGAAAGGCCCUGCUUUUGUGGGGUGCUCGAGUGGCGAACGGGUGAGUAACACGUGAGUAACCUGCCCUUGACUUUGGGAUAACUUCAGGAAACUGGGGCUAAUACCGGAUAGGAGCUCCUGCUGCAUGGUGGGGGUUGGAAAGUUUCGGCGGUUGGGGAUGGACUCGCGGCUUAUCAGCUUGUUGGUGGGGUAGUGGCUUACCAUGGCUUUGACGGGUAGCCGGCCUGAGAGGGUGACCGGCCACAUUGGGACUGUGAUACGGCCCAGACUCCUACGGGAGGCAGCAGUGGGGAAUAUUGCACAAUGGGCGGAAGCCUGAUGCAGCAACGCCGCGUGCGGGAUGACGGCCUUCGGGUUGUAAACCGCUUUCGCCUGUGACGAAGCGUGAGUGACGGUAAUGGGUAAAGAAGCACCGGCUAACUACGUG